GAUGAACGCUGGCGGCGUGCCUAAUACAUGCAAGUCGAGCGAACAGACGAGGAGCUUGCUCCUCUGACGUUAGCGGCGGACGGGUGAGUAACACGUGGAUAACCUACCUAUAAGACUGGGAUAACUUCGGGAAACCGGAGCUAAUACCGGAUAACAUGUUGAACCGCAUGGUUCAACAGUAAAAGACGGUUUUGCUGUCACUUAUAGAUGGAUCCGCGUCGCAUUAGCUAGUUGGUAAGGUAACGGCUUACCAAGGCAACGAUGCGUAGCCGACCUGAGAGGGUGAUCGGCCACACUGGAACUGAGACACGGUCCAGACUCCUACGGGAGGCAGCAGUAGGGAAUCUUCCGCAAUGGGCGAAAGCCUGACGGAGCAACGCCGCGUGAGUGAAGAAGGUCUUCGGAUCGUAAAACUCUGUUAUUAGGGAAGAACAAAUGUGUAAGUAACUAUGCACGUCUUGACGGUACCUAAUCAGAAAGCCACGGCUAACUACGUG
rnacentral:rRNA from 1 species